UGAGGUACACUCCCACAUCGUCCAGACGAGGAUUCAGAGUACGCUUUAUAUAGGAUUUGCCUGCAGGUAAGCUCGUCCCUUCGGGGACAUCCGAUAAAAUUGGAACGAUACAGAGAAGAUUAGCAUGGCCCCUGCGCAAGGAUGACACGCAUAAAUCGAGAAAUGGUCCAAAUUUUUUUUUGAAUCCGUCCAAUCAAACGGUUUCAAUCUCCUUCGUUUCGCUGCAUUCAAGUUGGCAACCAGCACUGCAUCUUUCUGCAAAGAUGGAGAGGAGUGAAGGGCAAAAUUUUCGCGUCCGAAAUUUAGAGAAGUCAGAUAAAAGCAAGGGUUUCAUACAACUGUUGCAACAGCUAACUGUUUGUGAUUCUGUAUCUGACAAGGAGUUUGCAGAUAGGUUCGGAGAGAUUAGCUCCCUCGGAGAUGACCAUGUUAUCUGUGUUUCACGUUCCAAUUUUGGUGAAUUGUUAUGAUUCCUGCUUGUAAUCUCAAGUGGUUUUCAUGAUAAUAGUGUCUUGAUACCUUGUGGUGUUUAAUCUAAUGGAGGAAACAUUUAUGGAUGGUGGAAUAACUGCAACCGGUUGAUGUUUACCAACGCACACUUAUUGCGUAGUCCUCAAGGUAUACGGGGCCAUCCCCGUUGCUUAGUCCCUUGAAAGAGGAAGAAGUACCCGAAGAAGCCGAUCGAGUAAACCACGGCAGAGAAGCAAGAGAGCAGAAGGAGCAAGAUUUCGGGGAAGUCAUGGCAUCAAUUGGAAUGAUGAGUAUUAGAGGGGAAAGCAUGGAAUGAAGACCGGAAGUGUACAUGCACAUUUUGAAGUGAAUUUCCAGUGCUGAGUGCUCUAAAUUUUCAUCCCAUAUUUCUCACCCAACAGCUUUGUAACAAUUAUUAUUAUUACAAGUUUGUCCGGCAUAAAAUUACUUUCAAUGAAAUAAGAUCUCUUUCAAACAAAGAUAAAGGACAUCUCCGAUGGAGAGGAAUAAAUGUCCAAAAACCAAAAAAUAGUUUGAUCUGUUCAAAAAUUCAUCUCUAACCGAAGGUUAGGCUAUAAUUCUAUGGA